UUUACAUCAAAUUAUUUUAAUCGGUCUCCCUUUUGGCCUUGUAUAAUCCCAUUUCACGUUCUUAAUUAGGGCUUGAUUUGCUCAGGGGUGAUGGCGUUUCGAUCCGUCAGAAUUACUUAUUCUGAUUUUCAGCUUAAAGAUUUGAACUUUCAACAUCAAUCAUUAUGCAUAUACAAUGGGAAAUAGAACACCACUUAUUCCUAUAGAAUCAUUAGAUCCGUUUGUGUGCUUUCUCUAAUUUACAAUCCCUACAGAGAUCAAUGGAAUCUAAGCAAAAAUCUCCUUAAAUCCAACUAAUUUCCAGCAGCAUACGCAUCAUCUGAGCUCUCUUUAUGAAAGAUCCUUCCCCAACACCAAUUGGAAUACUCGCAUGCUUUCCAUCUCCUCCACCAUUUCUCUGUUCAGCAUUGGUUACUAGAGAUGGAGGCAGAUGACGUGGCAGAGUGUACACUGGAAAAUCUCUAUCAUAGAAGCUGCUACCAACAUGUGAAUUAUGUAAUUAGUUUUUGUUUUUUUUUUUUUUUUUUUGUACAUUUUUUUUUCGUAUUUCAGAGGUAUGUUACUAUA